GACGAACCGUGCGAACGUUGUUCGGAAUCACUGGGCUUAAAGGGCGCGUAGGCGGCUCGACAAGUCGGGGGUGAAAUCUUUCGGCUCAACCGGAAAAGGGCCUCCGAUACUGUCGAGCUCGAGGGAGGUAGGGGCGGACGGAACUUCCGGUGGAGCGGUGAAAUGCGUUGAUAUCGGAAGGAACGCCGGUGGCGAAAGCGGUCCGCUGGCCCUCUUCUGACGCUGAGGCGCGAAAGCCAGGGGAGCGAACGGG
rnacentral:rRNA from 1 species